rnacentral:rRNA from 1 species
ACUGCUCAGUAACACGUGGAUAACCUGCCCUUAGGUUUGGCAUAACUCCGGGAAACUGGAGAUAAUUCCGAAUAGGUCAAAUAUGCUGGAAUGCUUUUUGGCCAAAAGACUUCGGUUGCCUAAGGAUGGAUCUGCGGUCUAUCAGGUAGUAGUGGGUGUAACGUACCUACUAGCCUACGACGGAUAUGGGUUGUGAGAGCAAGAGCCCAGAGAUGGAUUCUGAGACAUGAAUCCAGGCCCUACGGGGCGCAGCAGGCGCGAAAACUUUACAAUGCGGGAAACCGCGAUAAGGGGACACCGAGUGCCAGCAUUUAUGUUGGCUGUCCACAUGUGUAAACGGCAUGUGUUAGCAAGGGCCGGGCAAGACCGGUGCCAGCCGCCGCGGUAACACCGGCGGCCCGAGUGGUAAUCACUUUUAUUGGGUCUAAAGGGUCCGUAGCCGGUUUGAUCAGUUCUUCGGGAAAUCUGACAGCUCAACUGUUAGGCUUCCGGGGAAUACUGUCAGACUUGGGACCGGGAGAGGUAAGAGGUACUACAGGGGUAGGAGUGAAAUCUUGUAAUCCCUGUGGGACCACCAGUGGCGAAGGCGUCUUACCAGAACGGGUCCGACGGUGAGGGACGAAAGCUGGGGGCACGAACCGGAUUAGAUACCCGGGUAGUCCCAGCCGUAAACGAUGUUCGCUAGGUGUCAGGGGCGGUGCGACCGCUUCUGGUGCCGUAGGGAAGCCGUGAAGCGAACCACCUGGGAAGUACGGCCGCAAGGCUGAAACUUAAAGGAAUUGGCGGGGGAGCACUACAACGGGUGGAGCCUGCGGUUUAAUUGGAGUCAACGCCGGG